UACGUAGGGUGCGAGCGUUGUCCGGAAUUACUGGGCGUAAAGAGCUCGUAGGUGGUUUGUCGCGUCGUCUGUGAAAUUCCUGGGCUUAACUCCGGGCGUGCAGGCGAUACGUGCAUAACUUGAGUACUGUAGGGGAGACUGGAAUUCCUGGUGUAGCGGUGAAAUGCGCAGAUAUCAGGAGGAACACCGGUGGCGAAGGCGGGUCUCUGGGCAGUAACUGACGCUGAUGUGCGAGAGCGUGGGGAUCAAA
rnacentral:rRNA from 1 species